rnacentral:rRNA from 1 species
GGAGCUUGCUUUAUAUAACUUAGCAGCGAACGGGUGAGUAACACGUAGAUAAUCUAUCCUAUACUGGGGGAUAGCCCGAUGAAAGUUGGAUUAAUACCGCAUAUAGCUAUAUAGUUGCAUGAUUAUGUAGUGAAAGAUUUAUUGGUAUAGGAGGAGUCUGCGGCACAUUAGCUAGUAGGUGGGGUAAAGGCUUACCUAGGCGACGAUGUGGAGCCGGUCUGAGAGGAUGAACGGCCACAAUGGAACUGAGACACGGUCCAUACUCCUACGGGAGGCAGCAGUGGGGAAUAUUGCACAAUGGGGGAAACCCUGAUGCAGCAACGCCGCGUGAGUGAAGAAGGUUUUCGGAUUGUAAAGCUCUGUUAGCAGGGAAGAGGAAGGACGGUACCUGCAGAGGAAGCCACGGCUAACUACGUGCCAGCAGCCGCGGUAAUACGUAGGUGGCAAGCGUUGUUCGGAAUAAUUGGGCGUAAAGGAUGCGUAGGCGGUUAAACAAGUUAUAUGUUAAAUAUAUAGGCUUAACCUGUAGAAAGCAUAUAAAACUGUUUAACUAGAGUGCAGGAGAGGUAAGUGGAAUUCCUAGUGUAGCGGUGAAAUGCGUAGAGAUUAGGAAGAACACCAGUGGCGAAGGCGACUUACUGGACUGUAACUGACGCUGAGGCAUGAGAGCAUGGGGAGCAAACAGGAUUAGAUACCCUGGUAGUCCAUGCUGUAAACGAUGGGUACUAGGUGUGGGGUGUGAAUAACAAUUCGUGCCGUCGCAAACGCAAUAAGUACCCCGC